CCUACGGGAGGCAGCAGUGGGGAAUUUUGGACAAUGGGCGCAAGCCUGAUCCAGCAAUGCCGCGUGAGUGAAGAAGGCCUUCGGGUUGUAAAGCUCUUUUGUCAGGGAAGAAACGGUCUACUCUAAUACAGUGGGCUAAUGACGGUACCUGAAGAAUAAGCACCGGCUAACUACGUGCCAGCAGCCGCGGUAAUACGUAGGGUGCAAGCGUUAAUCGGAAUUACUGGGCGUAAAGCGUGCGCAGGCGGUUAUAUAAGUCAGAUGUGAAAUCCCCGGGCUCAACCUGGGAACUGCAUUUGAGACUGUAUGGCUAGAGUGUGUCAGAGGGGGGUAGAAUUCCACGUGUAGCAGUGAAAUGCGUAGAUAUGUGGAGGAAUACCGAUGGCGAAGGCAGCCCCCUGGGAUAACACUGACGCUCAUGCACGAAAGCGUGGGGAGCAAACAGGAUUAGAUACCCUGGUAGUCCACGCCCUAAACGAUGUCUACUAGUUGUCGGGACUUAAUUGUCUUGGUAACGCAGCUAACGCGUGAAGUAGACCGCCUGGGGAGUACGGUCGCAAGAUUAAAACUCAAAUGAAUUGACGG
rnacentral:rRNA from 1 species